rnacentral:rRNA from 1 species
AUGCGCUGUUCGUCGAUGUUACUCCAUCAUUUAAGGGCCACUCGCCGUGUUCCUUGGAAAUUGCAGUGGCCGUGUGCGGUGGGGUGGUUCUGCGAGGCUAUGGCGAUGGCGAGGAGGCAGCACGUCACCAUAUUCACCACGGCGAGCCUGCCGUGGAUGACCGGCACUGCUGUCAACCCCCUGUUCCGGGCGGCUUACCUCGCCAAGGCCGGGGACUGGGAGGUCACGCUGGUGGUGCCGUGGCUGUCCAAGGGGGAUCAGAUGCUGGUUUACCCUAACAACAUGAAAUUCAGUGGGCCGGCGGAGCAAGAAGGCUAUGUGCGGCGGUGGCUUGAGGAGCGGACUGGGCAGUUGCCGAGAUUCAACAUAAAUUUCUAUCCUGGGAAGUUCUCGACGGAGAAAAGAAGCAUUCUACCUGUUGGGGAUAUUACCGAGACGAUAUCUGAUGAAAAAGCAGAUAUUGCAGUUCUAGAAGAGCCAGAACAUCUGACCUGGUACCAUCAUGGACGGAGGUGGAAAAACAAAUUCCGUAAAGUUAUAGGUGUUGUUCACACCAACUAUCUGGAAUACGUGAAGAGGGAGAAAAAUGGGUAUAUUCAGGCAUUUCUCUUAAAACAUAUCAAUUCUUGGGUCACCGACAUCUACUGCCAUAAGGUUAUAAGAUUAUCGGGAGCAACUCAGGAAGUCCCGAGAUCUGUAAUCUGUAAUGUUCAUGGAGUAAACCCAAAAUUUAUUGAAAUUGGCAAAUUGAAGCAUCGGCAAAUAUCUCAAAGAGAGCAAUCAUUCUUCAAGGGUGCAUAUUAUAUUGGGAAGAUGGUCUGGAGUAAAGGCUACACAGAGCUGCUCCACCUGCUUCAGAAGCACCAAAAGGAACUGUCUGGUCUCAAGAUGGAGCUCUAUGGCAGUGGAGAAGAUUCGGGUGAAGUUAAAGCAUCAGCUGAAAAACUCAAUCUGGACGUUAGAGUCUAUCCUGGGCGCGACCAUGCAGAUUCAAUAUUUCACGACUACAAGGUUUUCAUAAACCCAAGCACAACAGAUGUAGUUUGCACCACAACUGCAGAAGCCUUGGCGAUGGGAAAGAUUGUGAUCUGCGCAAAUCAUCCUUCAAAUGAAUUUUUCAAAAGAUUUCCCAACUGCCACAUGUACAGCACGGAGAAAGAGUUUGUGAGACUAACCAUGAAAGCACUGUCAGAAGAACCAAUCCCACUGACAGAGGAACUGAGGCACGAGCUUUCCUGGGAGGCAGCGACAGAGAGGUUUGUCAGGGUUGCCGAAAUCGCACCAGCCACGCCCGCCAAGCAAACUCCUUCCACUUCACAGCGUUUCAUGUACAUCAACCCGGAUGAGCUGAAGAAGAACAUGGAAGAGGCAUCUGCAUUUUUUCACAACACCAUCUCCGGGUUUGAAGCUGCCCGCUGUGUGUUUGGCGCGAUACCGAACAGUCUGCAGCCCGAUGAACAGCAGUGCAAGGAGCUCGGGUGGAGCCCCCAGGGAUUAUAG